rnacentral:snRNA from 1 species
GGGGGGGCGAGGGGGGGCUGAAAGGUUCCUUAGGAUCUAUAGGAACACCGCACACAAAGGCUGUAGUAAGUGCACAUGCAUACUGUGGUCAACAGCCCCACAGACAGAGUGGUGCAAAUCUGGUGGAAAUG